AGGGCACAACUCCCCCGCAAUAAGGCGCCUCCUGAUUGGCCCGCUAGUGGCGGUAACACGCGCUCUGAUUGGUCCGGACUCUGCUCUCGACACUACGCAUGCUCGGCCGCGGGGGCUGCCUGUGGAUGAGCCCGGGAAGAUGUGAGAAAGCGCGUUUUGGCCUGUGCCGGCGUUGAGCUUUGGUCCAGCCUGAAGAGAGGAGCGUGGGGACACGAGGAUGCUCCCUGAAAGACACGCGUGAACAGACUCAGGUCGGGGGACGCAGGAGGACCUCGGGGCCGAGGACUACCGGCAGCUGCAGCCCCACUCGCGUGCUGGAGGGCCUUCCGUGUCCCCACGUGCCUAGCAAUCGCUCCUUCCCGCCCUGCUAUUGCAGAAUUAGGCUGGGUCCGUCUCCGGUAGCCUGGGUUCACCUUUCACAGGACUGUUUCCUUUUAUUAGAUCCUUCAAAGCUGUAACUUUUGGCCUUUCACCUCUUGCUCUUUAACUUGUUUCUGCUGUGCUUUAUCCCAAUGCCCUACGUGAUAGGUCCCCACCUGCUGCAGGGCCUGGCUGGCAUACGCUGCCCUCUACCUAGGGUCGGGCUUGCCUCACCUAGAGGCCUUUACUAUAUAAUCCAGACAUAUUGUUUCCUCCGGCCCCUUUUGCCUGCGCCAUGGUCCUUUCUCCCCACCCCCUUGUCUCUUUCUCUUCUCUCUCCUUUCUGCUUUCUCUUCUCUCUCCUUUUUCUCUUUGUCCUGACAUAUGUUUUUUGUUUGUUUGUUUGUUUGUUUUGUUUUGUUUUUUCGCCAUCACCUCUGAGAUGUGCCUCUUAAGGCACACAUAUGACUCCUGUCGUAAGCACACGAUGUCAGAAAUAGACAGACAUGUUUAUGUGUUUUUGCAAUGUCGGAAUUUAUUGAAUUGCCAAUAACUUUCACAGCACAAUGGUUUCACUGGCACCCAAGAGUCCACUCUACUUGGUAGCCCAGGCUAAGGCAAACACAGGUUCUUUUAUUGAAGUCUUAAUUACUAAUAUUAACUCACAUACAUUGCACAUACAUCACUCGGUAAGUAUAUCUCUCUAUAUGUUUACAUAUGUAUAUAUAUGGGUCACAGUGACUACAAAGGGUUAAAAAGAGGGAUGGAGUUUUAAAAGCCUUGUGAAGCCAAAGCUGGGAAAUUGACAGGAAUGCAAAGAGUCUGUAUUGAUAACAUGAGUCUACAGGAAAGAAGCUGCCGCUGUUGGCUGAGAGUCACAGAGCUGACCAACUGACUAUUUUAACCCAGAUGCAAAGGUGAAAGGUCAGGACUGAGUCUAGACAAAACAGCUCUUAGACAAAUGGACUGCAGGUCCAGACUGGCAAACAGUUCAAGAAGGCAGAGUUGAGUAAAACACAUCAAAGACAGGGAGGAGCCCACCUGAAGGUCUCUGGAAGUUCAGGGGUUCUCAGCCUGUUGGUCUGUGACAUACUCCAGAUAGUCAGAUGACCCAUUUGGGGGGUCAUUGGCAUGACAAUGUUAGGCAUCAGCCUUUGUCAACAGAAAAACAAGAUUUCCAACACAGUUAAGUGCCUUCUCAUUUGCUAGGAAUCUCAGUAGAAUUUUCAUUUAUAGAGAAAGGAAGAAUAUUAACCUUUUGUAUAACUAUGGUGGCUUUUUCCUUGUCAGAUUAUAAUCCCAUUUAAAACAUUUCUGGAGCCACUAUAUGGAUAAUGCUAAGUGUGUGUGUGUGUGUGUGUGUGUGUGUGUGUGUGUGUCGUUUUCCUACUGAGCACUUUAAAAAAAAAAACAUAUGCUUAAGCUAAUAUUAAAAUAGCUAUAAUAAAAUAACCAUCUCUGCUUCACUAUAAAUUCUUUUCACCAUCAAAUUUAAGAAUCCCGGUUUAGCCUGAACUGAAGUCCCUAAAGUUCCAGGGGAACUCCUCUGGCUUCUGAGGAUGACAGUGUGAUAAUAAUCUUCAGAAGAAAGCCAGAGGUGGGGCCUUGAUCUGGUUUGUUUUUUUGUGACAGUGGAGAAAUCUAAGACACCACACAGACAGAAUCAGCAGUUGAAGAAAGGUGUUUAUUGGGAGCUGAGGAAACACAAGCACACAAUACACACAAGCAGAGCAGAGGCUCAGCCAAAAACAUCCAGUCUCUUGUCAAGGGUUGGGUUUUUUUUAAUCUCUAAAGAGUCUUCCUGCCCUAAUUUAGGGCUGGUCAGUUUGAAGAAACGAAGGUGAGGAACUGUGUUUCUGUUUCCUCAUUACUAACAGUAAUUUUUUUUUAAUAUUUGCUCCCAUGAGCCUGACACCUUCGAGGAACAGAGUAUUUCAAAGUGUACUCAAGCAAGGAGGAAACUCAAGGACAAUUAAAGUUGGGGAGAGGGGGAAAAAAGUUUGGCAAACUGGAGAUGUUUUCUGAUUGGGGAUCAAGAAAGCAGGCUUUCAGCAGUGGGCUUGGUGGGGGUGCUUCAGGGUCUUUGGGGAGUGAGAAAACCUGGAGUGUCAGAAAAGGCAAGCUUAGGAGUUUGGUUGGUGUCUAAAAAAGGGAAGUAGAAGGGAAGAAUAAAUGUUCUGGUUUCAAGUAGGCAGGCUUAGUGAGGGGCUGUAAACUGAGGGAGGGACCUGUGAGGUGUGACUACACCUCAGGACAUGUUUUGCGGUAUAUCAUGAUUCUUUUGACUUCAAUCUGUCUUCCCAAGAUUGUAAGACAGUUUUCUAUUCAUCCCAGGAAGGAAAGCUCACGUUGGCUACCUUAAACAUGUUAUGAGCCACUGACCACUUGUGAAGGGCUUGGUGACCACCAACAAUGCUGGUGUAUCAUUGCCACACUGAUACUUCUGCGUCCCAAAUGGGUCUCCAGACAUGGAAGGCACCCGCUGUUUGCAUCAGAAAGGAUAGAGAGUGUGCCAUUUUUACUAGAAGAAACUCAAUUGUUUCCUGCAUGGAGCCUGGGAAGCAGCCAACUGGCAAUGACCCUUUUGAUUCUCUUCACUACUAAGCAUCUCUAUCACCAACAUUUGAACUUCCUUGUAUUAUGUUGUCAUAGAAACCUUUGGAACUUUUCAAAGUUGUAUGAUGAAAUGUUUGAACAGUCAACUGCCUGGCUCACAACUAAGUCUAGAAAAACUCCUUGACUUAACACAAGUGGAAAUCUGCACUCCAGGAAGAUGAGCUUCCUGGCAGUCAGCUUUAUCUUCUGGGAAUGAAGGUCCUGGCAGCAGUUGCCUCAGUCUGACAGGUCAGUUGCUGCACACCUACGAUGCUAAUCCGAAGCACACUUAGGAGGUAUUUGUGGAGUGUUUUCUGUGUCCAUGCGCCUUCUCUGGAAGUUAUGAAGGCAUUCUACAGGCUCUGUCAAGCAAGGCAGCACCACAGUCAGCCUGCUCCAGAGAAUCACUCCCCUCCAUCCCAGGAACUGGAUCCAAGGUAAUUAAGUCCUGGGCCGGCUGAGACACCCGUUGAUGGCUCCCCACAACCAAGCACUGGAUCUUAAGAGUGACAUAGACUCCAAGUCGUAAAUGGUGUCAUGCAAACCCAAACCACAAAUGUCAUGGAGGACCAGAAUGGAUGGUCUUGGAGAGAUAGAAACAGACACAGUCUGUGUACGUGACAGGAAGGAGGGAAGAAGCCAGCUUACUUUGAAGCAUCUUGCUGAUUGCCAUUUUCCAUGAAACUUCCUGAUUCUUCAUAAGGCAUGGCCAUCUCCCUAGUUUACUAGAGUGGCCCUAAGAUCUUUGCACAGGAGCGAUUUUUGGCAAAGACAAGCCCUUGGGAUACUGCCCAGUUCUCCCCAGCCUGGUUCAGCCUAUCUGAGAUGUCAUCCUUUGCUGGCCUUCCAACACUGAUCCUUCACCCAAACUGUUUCUUUCUCUAGAAAAGCACCCUGCUGUUCCAUCGUGUAUUUGAACACUUGCUGUCAUCGUGUCAGUGCCACAGGUGUGAUGUGAAAGGCCAUCGUCUGAUGGCCGAUUUAAUUAAAGCAAGCUUUUUAAGUUUCUAGACCCUGGCUGCUCCCCUCCUCCCAAGGCUGAGUUCAGGCAAUCAACACCAGAUGUGAAGAAGAGAAGGUUUUUAUAGCUAAUAUAGAUACAACUAAUAUAUAUAAUAAUGUGUAGCUAAUAUAAUAUAGAAAAUAGGGGAUUCCCAAAAGGGGGAUUUGGCAAGCAAAUAAGCAGGGGUCACAGCAGCAGGACAUAAACAUAACAAGUUGGUUAUAACAACCUUUUGACACAAAAACAUGGCUGCAUCUCCUAGAACAAGCAGUACUGAACUAUUUGAAUUAAGGUCACAGGUGGGCCAUAGCCUAAUCCUUGAGAAACAGACUUAAUCAUAAACAGGAACUAACCUAGUUUAUCUUCACUAUAAGAUGGCUUUCAAGCCCAAGCGUGGUAUACUGCCCCUUCACUCUUUUUCUUGCUGCCAAGACCAUGCCCAGGCUCAUCUCUCUGAUUACUCAGGCUGCACCCUCUCUUUAUUGUGCUGUGGGGUGUCUCCACGAGAGGACCCAGCUGACCUCACUGCAGCUGACUAAGGAAGGGCUGGUUCAUCUUGCAAGUCCCCAGCUCUGAGUGCUUCAGCCACACUGGCUGCUCAGGAGUUUUUGCCUGAGUCUAGUUUUUAGCUGUGGGUUUUGAUGUUAUGAUAGCUUAUGUUGUCUCUUGGGUACACAGAUUACUUCUCUUGAGUUGUUAACAUGUAUAAGAGAAAUUUUCCUACCAGACAUCUGAGCCUUGAAGAUUAACAAGAAUUUUUAAUGUUUUUAGCAGAAUGUACUGCUGUUACCUACAACUUCUAGUAUGCUCCUUCUCCUGAAUCCCUUGUUUGGUGUUUAAAAAAAAAAUGCUUUUCGGGGCUGGAGAGAUGGCUCAGAGGUUAAGAGCGCUGGUUGCUCUUCCAGAGGUCCUGAGUACAAUUCCCACCAAUCACAUGGUGGCUCACAACCGUCUGUAAUGAGAUCUGGUGCCCUCUUCUGGCGUGCAGGCACACAUGCAGGUAGAACUUUGUAUACAUAAUUAAUAAAUCUUAAAAAAAAAAAAAGACUUCUCUGGGACUGGAGAGUCAUAAAGAGCACAGGCUAUUCUUCCAGAGGACCCAGUUUCCAGGACCUGUCUACAACUGUAGUUCAGGAUAUCUUCUGGCCUCUAAGGGCACACAUGAGGUACAUAUACAAGCAAGCAAAGCACCCGUACAUAAAAAAUGUAUAGAUAAAUUUUAAAAGAUGGUAUGAAAUGUCUGAAUAAUCAAUAAAAAUAUGUUUUUUAAAAAGGGAUUAGAAAAUAUUCAGCCAGGCAUGGUGGUACACACCCUUAAUCCCAGUGCUUAGGAGGCAGAGACAGACAGAUCUCUGUGAGUUCAAUUCUGCCCUGGUCUACAAAGUCCAGAACAGCCAGAGCUGUUACACAGAAAAACCUGGUCUCAAAAAUCAAAACUAUCCAGUUGUAGGCAAGCCUGUGGGGCAUUUUCUUAAUUACUGAUUGAUAGGUGAAGACCCAUUUCAUUCUGAGUGGGUCCACCCCUGGUCUGGUGGUCUUGGUUCUAUAAGAGAGCACACUGAGAAAACCAGGGGAAGCAAGGCAGUAAGUAAGCAGCACUCUUCUGUGACUUGAGCAUCAGCUCCUGCCUCCAGGUUCCUGCCCUGCUUGACUUUCCUUCCUGCAAUGAAGAGCAAUGCUGUGGAAGUGUAAGUCAAAUAAACCCUCUCCUCCCCUAUCUACUUUUGGUUAUGGUGUUAAAUCACAGCAAUAGGAACCCUAACUACAACAAUAGGUACACAAAUCAAAUCAUUACUGACACGUAAUAAGGAAUUUGACUUUAAGGCGAUCCUUAGGAAUUUCUGAUUACCUUCACUGGUGGUGGGACGGACACACUGACACCCUGAGAUGCACAUGGAGGUCAGAGGCCAACUUGCAGAAGUUGGUUCUCUUCCAUCACGUAGAUCCUGGGGAUCAAACUCAGGCUGUUACGCUUGGUGGCAGUCCUCUCCCCCCACCCCCACCCCUUUUUUUUAACCUGCUGUGUUACCUCACUGGCUUUUAAAAAUGAUUCUUUGUUAUGUGUUUAAUUUUGUUGUUGAUUAAAGAUGUAAGCAAAUGUUUAUUUUAACAUAAA